GACGAACGCUGGCGGCGUGCUUAACACAUGCAAGUCGAACGGAAAGGCCCUGCUUUUGUGGGGUGCUCGAGUGGCGAACGGGUGAGUAACACGUGAGUAACCUGCCCUUGACUUUGGGAUAACUUCAGGAAACUGGGGCUAAUACCGGAUAGGAGCUCCUGCUGCAUGGUGGGGGUUGGAAAGUUUCGGCGGUUGGGGAUGGACUCGCGGCUUAUCAGCUUGUUGGUGGGGUAGUGGCUUACCAAGGCUUUGACGGGUAGCCGGCCUGAGAGGGUGACCGGCCACAUGGGGACUGAGAGACGGCCCAGACUCCUACGGGGGGCAGCAGUGGGGAAUAUUGCACAAUGGGCGGAAGCCUGAUGCAGCAACGCCGCGUGCGGGAUGACGGCCUUCGGGUUGUAAACCGCUUUCGCCUGUGACGAAGCGGGAGUGACGGUAAUGGGUAAAGAAGCACCGGCUAACUACGUG
rnacentral:rRNA from 1 species